UACGUAGGGUGCGAGCGUUGUCCGGAAUUACUGGGCGUAAAGGGCGCGUAGGCGGUCGAUCAAGUCAGGCGUGAAAGCCCCGGGCUCAACCUGGGAACCGCGCUUGAGACUGGUGGGCUAGAGUUCGGGAGAGGAUGGUGGAAUUCCCAGUGUAGAGGUGAAAUUCGUAGAUAUUGGGAAGAACACCGAUGGCGAAGGCAGCCAUCUGGACCGACACUGACGCUGAGGCGCGAAAGCGUGGGGAGCAAACAGG
rnacentral:rRNA from 1 species